rnacentral:lncRNA from 1 species
AUGAAAACUAAAAGCCUGGCCCAUUUGGGAGAGGUGGGUCACAUAAUAACAAAAGCUGAAGAAAGCUUGGUGUUGUUACUGCCGUCAAUCCCACCACCAUCCAUUUGGGAAUGGAUAACAUUAAAUGCUGCAUCUCCACGUGCCAUAAAACGCGUCGGCCCUUGUGAGGACCCCAGUCCUUGUAAAUCUGUUGUGUUUUCACUGGUCAAACAGAGUGGCUCUUCACCUGGUUCCCUUGUCCUCCCUCUAGCCCCCAAUGGCCCCAGGGCAGCUAGCACCGUCUGGGGCACAAAGAGCUGCCCGUGUGGACACAGCGUCUCUCACCACCACACCCCAAUAUUACAUCCAACCACAGACACACACAAACACACUCACAUACACUCACGUACUCACACACACACAAACAAACAUACAGUAUACACAUAUUAUACACACCUCCACUCUCUUUCUCGCUCCCAGUCUCUCAGUCUCCCAGUCUCUCAGUCUCCCAGUCUCUCAGUUUCCCAGUCUCUCAGUCUCCCAGUCUCUCAGACUCCCAGUCUUUCAGUCUCCCAGUCUCUCAGUCUCCCAGUCUCUCAGUCUCCCAGUCGCUCAGUCUCCCAGUCUCCCAGUCGCUCAGUCUCCCAGUCUCUCAGUCUCCCAGUCUCUCAGUCUCCCAGUCUCUCAGUCUCCCAGUCUCUCAGUCUCCCAGUCUCUCAGUCUCCCAGUCUAUCAGUCUUUCUCACAGUUUUUCUGUCUUUCUCCAUCUCUGUCUUUUCUGCUUUUUCCUCUCUGCAUAAUACACUCCCUCUCCCUGUCCAUCUCCUUGUCCCUCUCCCUGUCCAUCUCCUUGUCCAUCUCCCUGUCCAUCUCCCUGUCCAUCUCCUCCCUGUCCAUCCCUGUCCGCUCCCUGUCCAUUCUCCCUGUCAGCUCCCUGUCCAUCUCCACUGUCCAUCUCCCUGUCCAUCUCCCUGGCCAGCUCCCUUGCCAUCUCCCCUGUCCAUCUCCCUGUCCCAUCUCCCUGUCCCGCCGUCCUCCCUGUCCAGCUCCCUGUCCAUCUCCCUGUCCAUCUCCCUGUCCUUCUCCCUGUCCAGCUCCCUUGUCAUAAUGUCAUCUCCCAUCCCCUCCCCCAUUCUACGCUCAUCUCCCUUCCCCUCUCCAUCUCCCUUCCCCCCUUCCCCCCCUUCCUCUCCCACCCCCUCUCCCUUCCCCUUUCCAUCUUCCCUACCCCUCUCCAUCCUCCCCUCUCCUCUCAAUCCCCCUUCUAGUUCUUUCUCAGAAAAACCCUGA